rnacentral:rRNA from 1 species
UCCAGGCGGAAUGCUUAAUGCGUUAGCUUCGGCACGGAAGGGAUCGAUACCCGCCACACCAAGCACUCAUCGUUUAGGGCUAGGACUACCGGGGUAUCUAAUCCCGUUUGCUCCCCUAGCUUUCGCGCCUCAGCGUCNAUCUCGGUCCAGGAUGCCGCCUUCGCCACCGGUGUUCCUCCAGAUAUCUACGCAUUUCACCGCUACACCUGGAAUUCCACAUCCCUCUCCCGAAUCCAAGCCUCCCAGUAUCAGACGCAGUUCCCAGGUAAAGCCUGGGGCUUUCACGUCCGACUUAGAAGGCCGCCUACGCGCCCUUUACGCCCAGUAAUUCCGAAAAACGCUUGCCACCUCUGUAUUACCGCGGCUGCUGGCACAGAGUUAGCCGGGGCUUCCUCAACCGGUACCGUCAGUCUCCAACGUAUUAAGUUGGAGCUUUUCGUCCCGAUCAACAGGAGUUUACAAUCCGAAGACCUUCAUCCUCCACGCGGCGUUGCGUCUUCAGGCUUGCGCCCAUUGCGAAAAAUUCCCCACUGCUGCCUCCCG